GACUGGCGGGUGCCUAUACAUGCAAGUUGAGCGCUGAAGGUUGGUACUUGUACCGACUGGAUGAGCAGCGAACGGGUGAGUAACGCGUGGGGAAUCUGCCUUUGAGCGGGGGACAACAUUUGGAAACGAAUGCUAAUACCGCAUAAAAACUUUAAACACAAGUUUUAAGUUUGAAAGAUGCAAUUGCAUCACUCAAAGAUGAUCCCGCGUUGUAUUAGCUAGUUGGUGAGGUAAAGGCUCACCAAGGCGAUGAUACAUAGCCGACCUGAGAGGGUGAUCGGCCACAUUGGGACUGAGACACGGCCCAAACUCCUACGGGAGGCAGCAGUAGGGAAUCUUCGGCAAUGGACGAAAGUCUGACCGAGCAACGCCGCGUGAGUGAAGAAGGUUUUCGGAUCGUAAAACUCUGUUGGUAGAGAAGAACGUUGGUGAGAGUGGAAAGCUCAUCAAGUGACGGUAACUACCCAGAAAGGGACGGCUAACUACGUGCCAGCAGCCGCGGUAAUACGUAGGUCCCGAGCGUUGUCCGGAUUUAUUGGGCGUAAAGCGAGCGCAGGUGGUUUAUUAAGUCUGGUGUAAAAGGCAGUGGCUCAACCAUUGUAUGCAUUGGAAACUGGUAGACUUGAGUGCAGGAGAGGAGAGUGGAAUUCCAUGUGUAGCGGUGAAAUGCGUAGAUAUAUGGAGGAACACCGGUGGCGAAAGCGGCUCUCUGGCCUGUAACUGACACUGAGGCUCGAAAGCGUGGGGAGCAAACAGGAUUAG
rnacentral:rRNA from 1 species